rnacentral:misc_RNA from 1 species
GAUGAAGAACGUAGCGAAAUGCGAUAAGUAAUGUGAAUUGCAGAAUUCAGUGAAUCAUCGAAUCUUUGUACGCACAUUGCGCCCGCCAGUAUUCUGGCGGGCAUGCCUGUCCGAGCGUCAUUUCAACCAUCAAGCCCCGGGCUUGUGUUGGGGACCUGCGUCCGACGCAGGCCCUGAAAACCAGUGGCGGGCUCGCUGUCCACACCGAGCGUAGUAACUAACCUCGCUAUGGAGUGGCGCGGGCGCCUGCCGUAAAACCCCCAAUUUCACAAGGUUGACCUCGGAUCAGGUAGGAAUACCCGCUGAACUUAAGCAUAUCAAUAAGCGGAGGA